rnacentral:rRNA from 1 species
GAUGAACGCUAGCGGCAGGCUUAAUACAUGCAAGUCGAGGGGCAGCGCGGGUAGCAAUACCUGGCGGCGACCGGCAAACGGGUGCGGAACACGUACAGAACCUUCCUUUAAGCGGGGGAUAGCCCAUAGAAAUGUGGAUUAAUACCCCAUAGUAAUAUUGACUGGCAUCAGUUGAUAUUUAAAGAUUUAUCACUUAAAGAUGGCUGUGCGGCUGAUUAGGUAGNGGUGCGGGUAACGGCCACCAAGCCAGCGAUCAGUAAACUGGUGUGAGAGCACGACCAGUCACAC